GAUGAAGAACGUAGCAAAAUGCGAUAAGUAAUGUGAAUUGCAGAAUUCAGUGAAUCAUCGAAUCUUUGAACGCACAUUGCGCCCGCUGGUAUUCCGGCGGGCAUGCCUGUUCGAGCGUCAUUUCAACCCUCAAGCCCCCGGGUUUGGUGUUGGGGAUCGGCUCUGCCUUCUGGCGGUGCCGCCCCCGAAAUACAUUGGCGGUCUCGCUGCAGCCUCCAUUGCGUAGUAGCUAACACCUCGCAACUGGAACGCGGCGCGGCCAUGCCGUAAAACCCCAACUUCUGAAUGUUGACCUCGGAUCAGGUAGGAAUACCCGCUGAACUUAAGCAUAUCAAUAAGCGGGGA
rnacentral:misc_RNA from 1 species